UUUAAUUUUUCUGCUGCAGGAAAGAAUGACUCUGCUGAAGCUCCUAGCUGAGAAAAAUAAAAUAAUUGAAUAGACUAAAGCUGAGAUGCAGAUGUUAAGAGGCAAUGUUCAAAAACUACAACUACAAAAUUGGAAUCUUGCUCAAUCAAACACACACAUGCUAGGGGAGCUUAAUUUAGGAAGGGAAAGG